UUUGAGUAAAAAUCCUAUCGUAUAGUGCCAGCGGGAGUAUUGCUAGUUUCUCUAUAAAAUCCCUUUAAACCCCGAAAUUUUCGUUUUACUAUUUCUGCUACUUCCUUCGUUUCUUCUCUCUAGCGGCUGCUUCCUCUCUCUGCUCUCUCCGUUCAUUUUUCGUUCUGGUAAGUUUUUUUGGGUUCUUAGAGAUCUUUUAAUAUCUAUUUUCAGUGUUAAUCGGCAGUGUUUUUUCCAUUCUAUAUAUCAUCUGGUAAUAUUAAAUCUAGGGUUUUGAUUUUUAAUCUUCCUAGGGUUUUUUUGCGUAUUUUGUGUGAUUGUGUAGGUGUUAGAUUCUGUUUUUGUGUUCUUUUUUGUUUUUUUAGCAGUUUUGCUUCCAAUUUCCUUGGUCUGAUUUACAGUGAAUUUGGUAUUUUUGGGGGUUAUUUUGUUUUGUGUCUGGUAAGGUUAUCUGGGUUUGUUCCGGUUUAAGGGUUUGUAACUGUUGAAGGAGCUGCCUCUUUUAGGCGCGAUUAAGUUGGGAUUCAAGGUUUUUUGUUGAGUUGGAAUCAUACUUCAGUGGUGGUUUGCAUUUGUUUUUCGUAUAAAUAGUUUUAAAACCAGGGAUUUUAUCUUCCCCUUUCUAUUUGAUGAAGUAGUUUUAUGUUGUGAGGCUGAUAAUGUUGAAAAAUCAGGGCUUGUAUUGCACAACAAAUGUCUUUUGAUUCUAGCAAGAAACAUCCGUGGUUUCUUUGGCGUGCGUUCUGUUUUAUGAGAACGCCCACACUCUAAUAUCAUGGCUACAAAGUCUAACCAACUGGAGUAGGUUGUGCUGUUUGCGGAAGAUAUUGUUUCGGCACUGGACUUGACAUAUAAGGAUUUUACGGCGUUGGGGGUGUUUCUCUCUCUUUUUCAUCUGGUUUUCUUGGCUCCCUUUAAUUCAAUUACUGCGAAGACAGUUGUUUUGGUGAUAAGUAUUUGCUUGUUAUUUAGUGGUGGGGAAAGAAAAAGUAUUUGGUUAUUGAUAGUUGGUUAGACUUUGUACGCGUGAUAUUAGAGUGUGGGCAUUCCUGAGACGCUCUGUAUGGCGAGAAUGUCCCUUCCUCUGGGAUUUCGAUUUCAUCCUACUGAUGUAGAGCUGAUUAUGUACUACCUCAAAAGGAAGGCUAUGGGAAAGAAAUUUCACUUUGAGGCCAUUGCAUUGCAGAGCUCAAUAUAUACAAGUUUGGUCCAUGGGAUCUCCCAGAUAUUAGUUUUUCAUAUGAUGAUUUUACUUCUUAAUCUCUUUAUUUCAUUCUAAAAGCCCAUUUUGUUUCAAAUAUUACUAUGCUACCACAUGUACAACCUGUGUAAGGAUGAAUAGUUUAAAUGAAUGUCUAAGGUUGAUUUUUAUGAAGGAACUACUAUUUUUGAAAUGUUUUCAAUAAAUAAAGGAUUCUUGAAUUUCUGAUUAUGGAGUUAUAUUGGUGUAUUAUUGUUUUGCACUUAGUAUCAUAUUCAUUUGGUAUGACUUUAUAUUAUUGCCAUUUACUUGUGGAUUUAUUUCGAGCACUAUGAAGGGUUCUUGAGUUCAAUUACUUCUUUAAGUCUUAUAUUUACCCCAUAACUUACUUUUUGAAUUUGUUAACUGAAUUAAUUAAAAUCUGGAAUGGUUAGAGUCUUUAGACUCUUCUCCGGUUCUAGUGGUUAAUAUUGCAUGUGAGGCAGGGUGAACUUGUAUGUUCAUUUAUUAUUAUAUCAAGAUUAAGACUCUGGUUUUUCACAAAGGUCAUGCUCCCAAAGGCGAACAAACUGAUUGGGUUAUGCAUGACUAUAGAAUUGAGGACACAAAUUUGGCUGAUGUAGUUCAGGUAUUUGCACAUUUCAUGUUCUUUCGUUUCUUUUCUGAUGAGCUGGCAUUUGCUACAUAUUAUUUCUUGAAUUCCUUAUCUUGAUUUGUGAAGAUUCUUCUCAUUCCACUAAUUGGUUUGCAAGUGUGUAUUUACACGGCCUUCACGCUAUAGCUGUUUGUAUUCUACAGACACCCAUAAUAAAUAUCAUGGAUUGAGUGUUUACGUGUGAAUUUUAUGUGAUAUAUGAUUGUAGCUCUGGCUGAGAGAAAGAAGCCGAUGCCACAUGGUAAUUUAGAGUAGUAUCAUAAUUAAUGAAGUGAUUGUGGCAGUUGUCUAGUUAUUGAAUUUGCUUACUUGCGACCAUAUUAUUUGUAAUUCGUAUUUGGUGUUUGAGCGGUGUUUAACAUAUUAAGUUAGUAGGCUGCUUCAUUCCAUUAGCUCUAAGGGAAGAUAUUAUUUAUCCCAUCCACUUGUCUUUUGCUUGUAAUAUGUAACGUUGUGGUUUCUAUAGCCUAUAUGUGCAUAUGAAGUGUACCCAUUUCGCCAUUGGAGGAAACUUGUUUUGUAGUAUUUGUUGCCUCCACCAAAAAAUAUCUGGUUUGGUUUUGUUCGCUUUUGGGCUGAGGUGUAGGUGGAUAUAAGGGUGUUUUGUUAAUAUAUUCUUUGUCACUGAAUAAGUGACUAGACACAUGUCUAGUUCGACAACUGAUUUGUGCUGGUAAUAAAAGCUAGUUCUUCUCCUCGUGAAGAUGGCUUUCUUUGGCUAUGCUAUUUAUUGUUGGCAUGAUGUACAGAUUUGUUUUAUAGUUAUUGAAUGUUUCUAGCAAUUAAUCAAAUAAUUUAGUUUAGAGACCUCUCAACCUUAGUCGUAUACACUUUUACCUAAAGUCAUCUUAUCCAAAUAAUUUAUUUUUAAGGAUUUAAAGAGUACUCUUGGGCACAAGAAUUAAAGAACUGAUUGAAAAUCAUUAAAUAUAGUAUCAAUUGUCUAUAUAAUACCCUUAAAAUCUCAUUUAUUGCCAUACUUAUCUCAUACUCUCUUAUCUGUAACAUUUUCCCAUGAGGGAUAAUUUUGAAAAGAUCGUAAUUAAUUCUCCUAAAUUUUCUUAAACGUCAAGUAAUUUGGGACAAAUAAAAUUACCUAAAACGUCAUAUAUUAUGGGACGGAGGGAGUAAUAUAAAGGAAUAUGUUUUUGAAUCACCAAAUUUAUUUAUCUUUGUGUUUCAAUAUGGUAGUUAUGCUGCAUUAAUUUGUUACUUCCCUCUGACUAAACCUUGCUGAAUGUGCAAUGUGCUGAAUUCAUUCUAGUUCUGAUUUUAUGCUUAUGGUGUUUGCACAAGAGAUAACAAAAGAAAGCUCAACUUUGAGUCAUAGUGCAAAUGCUGGUUAUGUUGUUUAUAGUUGAUUUUAUUUUCUCUGUUGCUCCCCUAACCUGGUUACCAAUGGGCAAAGCUAAAAGAAAGAACUAAAUAUUUGGUUAAUCGAGUAUAAAAGCAUAAUCAAAAAAUUUUGGUGGUGAAAUGUAAAAAGAAAAAAAAGUAUGUUCACAUGAAAGUGAUUACUUUCAACUACUCUUAACCAAGGGGUUAAAUGAUCAAUAUUCGUGUUUUAUGUUUUGGAGGGGAAAAAACCUUUCAACCUCUUAUAUUAGGCCCGGAUCACUAGUAAAGGAGUGGAAGUAUUGUAAAACCUGGAGUCUUAAGUAUCUCUCUUUAAGUUUGGAAAAUGCUUUGACCUUUGGAUACUGGAUUGCUAGUGAAAGAGUGUAUGAAUGUUACAUCUUCAGUCAUGGGCAAAUCUCAUCAAAGAAGUAGAGAAGGUUGAAAAGUUUAGGCAAUGAAUUCAGGUUAGAGAGAAAACUAUAAAAGAAACUCUCUGUGGCAUUUACAUUGUGUUAGCCUGAUGUGACAGACAUUGUAAAUAUAGAAUGUUGGAUACAUAUAAUGUGUGCUGUGCUGCUCAUCAUCGAACUUCUCACAAGCCAAAGUGGCUUGUUUAGACUAAUGUAAACAAACUAAUGUUUAUAGGCGUAACCAACAGUACCCUUCCACAUUUGUUCUUGGUUUGUCGAUAGUUGAUUGCAGACUGAGUUGGGAUUUGACAAUGGCGUUUCUUAAAAGGCUGGAUUGCUUCGAUUUUCAUUGUGGAAAUUGCCUGUAUUGUCAUCUCUUAUUGUCAAUCUUCUGUUUGCAUAUUCAAAGCUUGUUUCUUCACCUCAUAUAAUCUUACCAUUUCACAGUACUCUUUAGUUUCUUUCUUGCUUAAUAGCUAAUUAGAAAGUAUUGUUUAAGUAAAUACAAUUAGAAAAAUAUUGUUGAAGUAAAAGGAAUUUGUAAAGCAACCAAUAUAUUUUUUGCUUUGAGGCACCAGACACUAAGUUGAGUUGGAGGAAAACAUUUUCUUUCUUUCUUUGUUUCAUUCUUUUUCUUUUUUCCUUUCAAAAAGCCAUCUCCUUUCCCUUUUUGUAUUUGAAGUGCGUUUUCUCUUUUUUUUUUAUUUUAUAUAUUUAAUUUUAUCUCGACUGUUUGUUUUUUCCUUUCAACUUGUGAGCACGUCUCCUUCUGGUUUUAGAAUUCAAUAGUUGCAAUCUGGUCAUAUACUUGAGAAUAUUUUACCUUUUUAUACCUGAACGUUUGUAAAUUGCCUUUUGUAGAAGUUCAACAUUGCCAACAAUGACAAGAGCAUCGAAGCUCUACCUUGCUUGGAUGGAGAUGAAAAUCAAAUCUACAAUGAUUUAGGGGACCUGAACAACUGGGCAGAACUGAUGGAUGAUGGAUUUAACUUAUUAACCAAUCAGAAUGUUGGUUAUACUCAUAAUCCAAUGCUUUUGGGUGAUGAUGGUUCACCCUUUUUGGAGCUCGAUGAUCUGGGCAUUCCAUUACCUUAUAGAAAUUUGGGUGGAUCCUGUUGCGAAGGUAAUUAUACAAGUGUUGUGCAAUAUUAUUUUGCGUGACUAAUCUGGUUGUUCGAGCCAGUAAAUGUGUCUUUAGUGUUCAAUUGUGUCCAAGUUAAUAUCAGAAGAACUUGAGAUACUUGGGAUUUGUGUGGAUCUAGGCAUGGGAUUUACUUCUUUGAAUAUCUACAUUACUUGUGGAUAGUGCUACGUUACAAAUAUCUACAGAUAUCCACUUCUAUAUUAGUGAUGUAUGUUGGCAGUCAAAUCCCAUGACCUCUGUGGUCUAGUAAGAAGAUAUGCUCUUUUCUUUUUUCUCUUGAUUUCAGUUUUGGAUGAUUUUGUAGAACCUGUGACAUGGUUGCGUUAGAAUCUUAUUUAUGGUCAAUGGGUGCUGCAGGUAUUUCUUGCAGUCUUUCUUGUUAUCUAAUGCAUAUUCUCAUAAAGAAUUAUCCUUAUUUCUCAUCUUGUAUUUGAUCCCAGGGAGCAGGAAACAAAACCAUUGUCGAGACUCCAACUCUUGUUGGAGUCCAUCUCUGCUCAGUCUGCAUCAGUUGUAGAGCUACCUGCUCACUUGAUUAGAGCUGAGAAGUUGAAUGACAACACCUUUUAUUAUGGCUCCUCCAUCUAUUUCAAGGCCGAGGUGACACUGAGGGUGGGCGAGUGCACUAAAGAUGCUUUGUCACUUGGUUUGGGGGAGUCUACUUGUAUGUGAGGAGACUCGAGGAAGAAAUUGACUUGCUGUUGGCAAGAAUUGUGACCUGUAUUAUUUUGUGAUCAUUUCUAUAAUAUGUAUUAUUAUUGAUCGCAACUGUGCAAUUCUUUGUUGAUUUGAUAAUUGUCUAUAUUUUGUGUGAUAAUUGAUUGCUUUGCUUCAAAUUUUUGGUUGAUCAGAGUGCUGUAUAAACUCGGCUUCCAGUUGUAUUAGUAUAAAAUUAUCUUCAAAUGAAUGUUUAUUUUAGUGUUAUAAGAACAAGUUUGAUAAGCUAUUGUCUUUUUUCUUGGAAAUAUCUCUCUAUAUUCAGUGGGUGUUUUAUUCAGUAGUAGUGUUUGAUGGGUAGUUUUAGAGAAUGUUUACUCAGUUUUUUGAAGCCAAGGCUAGAGAGACUUUUGUGAUCCUUCACAUAGUAGUAGG
rnacentral:lncRNA from 1 species